AUUGAACGCUGGCGGCAGGCCUAACACAUGCAAGUCGAGCGAGCGGCGGACGGGUGAGUAAUACCUGGGAAUUGUCAAGUAGAGGGGGAUAACAGUUGGAAACGACUGCUAAUAGCGCAUACGAUUGGAUUUCUCAGGUGUGAUUAGCUAGUUGGUGAUGUAAUGGCUCACCAAGGCGACGGUCCCUAGCUUGUCUGAGAGGAUGAUCGUCCACACUGGAACUGAGACACGGUCCAGGCUCCUACGGGAGGCAGCAGUGGGGAAUAUUGCUCAAUGGGGGAAAGUCUGAUGCAGCCAUGCCGCGUGAGUGAAGAAGGCCUUCGGGUUGUAAAGCACUUUCAGCGAGGAGGCGUUACUCGCAGAAGAAGCACCGGCUAACUCCGUGCCAGCAGCCGCGGUAAUAC
rnacentral:rRNA from 1 species